AGAGUGGAUGGGCUGAGGUGCGGGGGAGCAGUAGGCCCGGAGGACUCCCUGAAGAGGUGGCCUGGGGAUUCCUGGCAGAGGGAACGGCCUGUGCAAAGGCCUGGAGACACGCGACUGAAGCGCGCCUAACAAUGGCUACCAUGGAUUCGUGGGCAGGCGCCUGUACACUCAAUCCUCACGGCAGCUCCAGGACACUGGAGUUAGUGCUCCUGUCUCACAGGAAAGGAAACGUUGGCUCAGAAAGAUAAGGAAACCGAAGCACAGAGAGGCAGGUCAUCUGGCUGAGGUCACACAGCCACACGGCGAGAGAGCAGUGAAGCUGGAGUUCCAGCAAGCUCCACCUGGCGAGAAUUCAAGCCCUGCCAUGGGCCACCUCUCUGGAGGAAGAGAAAGCCAGCUUCAGACUCUGCCUCUCUCAAUCCUUAUACAAGGCCAGAGAGCGCUUGAGGCUUCCAGGCACUCCUAUGCUUACACACCUUCCAUGGCUCCCAGCUGCCCUCCAGAUAAAGAACAAUCUCCUCAGUGUGGCCCUUGAGGUCCUGUGAUCUGGCCUCUGUCCACCACCAGGGCCCCCCUCCUGGCCAGAUCUCUGAGCCUCGGCCAAGCUGACCUGCUUCUCUCAGGGCCUCAACAGGGCCGAUCUCCAUCCCUGCUGUUCCCUUGGUCCAGCAUGCUGUUCCCCUCUAGUUGCUUCUCCUUACCCUGGGGGCCUCCACUCAAAUGCCACCUCCUCCACUGGCCGGACGCUGCCAUUAACCUGCUCGAGUGCUCUCCCUGCAAAACUCAGCACAGGCUGGGCACAGUGGCUCAUGCCUGUAAUCCCAGCACUUUGGGAGGCCGAGGUAGGAUGACUGUUCGAGCCCAGGAGUUCAAAACCAGCCUGGGCAACAAAGUGAGAUCCUGUCUCUAUUUUUUAAAAAAUUAGCCGGGCGCAGUGGAGCACAACUGUAGUCCCAGCUACUCAGGAGCUUAAGGCUAGGGGGUAGCUUGAGCCCAGGAGUUCGAGGCUGCAGUGAGCUGUGAUCACAUCACUGCACUCCCACCUGGGUAACAGAGCAAGACCCUGUCUCAAAAAAAAAAAAAAAAAAAAAAGACCCAUAGCACAAUUGUAAUCAUGUGGGUCAUUGUGGGGUGGUGAGUCACAGCUGGUGAGUGGCAGAAUCAAGACCAGGUCCAGGUGGUACAGCCACAGAGCUGGUGCCCCCAAGUACUCGGCUGCUCACACGGGCCCCAAGAGACCUCCUCACUGGCAAGAGGAAGCCACCUCCUCUCAGAAGAAUGAGCAGGGCUAGAGUACAGUGGCACAAUCACUUCUCACUGCAGUCUCGAACUCUCUGGCUCAAGCAAUCCUCCCACCUCAGCCUCCUGAGUAGCUGGGACUACAGUCGUGUGCCACCACACCUAGCUAAUUUUUUCUAUUUCUUGUAGAGGUGGAGUCUUCCUAUAUAGCUCAGGCUGGUCUCAAAAUCCUGGACUCAAGCAAUCCUCCUGCCUCAGCCUUCCAAAGUGCUGGGAUUACAGACAUGAACCACCGUCCCCUGUAACUACUGUUUAAGAAAGUAAAAAGAUGCAGAAGAAGUUAAUCUAAUAUUUUGUUUAACCCACUAUACUCCAAAUAUCAUUCCUACAUGUAAUCAAGAUAAAAAAAAUUAUUAAUGGCUGGGUGCCAUGGCUCACGCCUGUAAUCCCAGCAUUUUGAGAGGCCGAGGCAGGCGGAUCACCUAGGGUCAGGAGUUCAAGACCAGCCUGACCAACGUGGUGAAACCCUGUCUCUACUAAAAAUGCAAAAAUUAGCCAGGAUUGGUGGCGUGUGCCUGUAGUCCCAGCUACUCAAAAGGCUAAGACAGGAGAAUUGCUUGAUCUUAGGAGGCAGAGUCUACAGUGAGCCAAGAUUGCGCUGCUGCACUCUAGCCUGGGCAACAGAGCAAGACUCUGUCUAAAAAAAAAAAUAAUAAUAAAUAAAUAAUCAUUGAGA